UACGGAAGGCGCGAGCGUUAAUCGGAAUUACUGGGCGUAAAGCGCACGUAGGCGGUUUUAUACGUCGGAUAUGAAAUCCCCGGGCUCAACCUGGGAACUGCAUUGGUGACUGCAAGGCUUGAGUGUGUCAGAGGGAGGUGGAAUUCCGCGUGUAGCAGUGAAAUGCGUAGAUAUGCGGAGGAACACCGAUGGCGAAGGCAGCCUCCUGGGAUAGCACUGACGCUCAGGCACGAAAGCGUGGGGAGCAAACAGG
rnacentral:rRNA from 1 species